AACGGUGUCGCCUGCUUCGCGGGCGCGCCCGCGCCCACAGGUUCGAAGCCUGCGCUUUGCCCGCGAAACAGGCGACACUAUU
rnacentral:antisense_RNA from 1 species